AACAGCCCCUCUGUGAAGGAUGUGCUGAUAUUUCUACGCUAGGAGAAGGCACUGAGAUCUCGAGAUAAGUAAGGCAGAGAGAGCACUAAUGACAGACAGAACGAGACUGCUCGUAUUUCUCUGUGCUAAAAGAGAGGAAGGCUGCAGCAUGAAAAACCUUGGAGGGCGAUGUUCUUUUGGAUGAAAAGGAACCCUUAGGGACAUCAAGGAAGACCCGAAAAUUCAAAUUCAGAGGAAAAAUGAAGCAAG
rnacentral:lncRNA from 1 species